rnacentral:ncRNA from 1 species
CCUACUAAGUGAUCACUUUCAAAUUCAGAGAAACCCUGGAAUUAAUCAAAACGGGCAAUCCUGAGCCAAAUCCUGUUUUCCGAAAACAAACAAAAGUUCAGAAAGCAAAAAUAAAAAAAAAAAGGAUAGGUGCAGAGACUCAACGGAAGCUAUUCUAACAAAUAGAGUUGACUGCGUUGCGUUGUUAGAGGAAUCCUUUCAGCCAAACUUCAGAAAGGGUGAAGAUAAACCUAUAUACAUACGUAUAUGUACUGAAAUAUUAUAGCAAAUGAUUAAUGACGACCCAAAUCUGUAUCUCUAUUUUUUGAUAUGAAAAAAUAGAAGAGAAGAAUUGUUUUGAAUCGAUUCAAAAUUGAAGAAAGAAUCGAAUAUUCAUUGAUCAAAUCAUUCACUCCACAGUCUGAUAGAUCUUUUGAAGAACUGAUUAAUCGGACGAGAAUAAAGAUAGAGUCCCAUUCCACAUGUCAAUACCGACAACAAUGAAAUUUAUAGU